AUGAAAGAACCCUAUGUUAAAAAAAAAAAAAAAAAAAAACCCUAUGUUAGUAAAAUCAAGAUGUUUACACAUACAAAUUCACUCUCAAAUCAAUAUUUUGAAGUGAAAACUCCUCACAUUGACAACUCUGUAGCUUCUUAAAGCAUAAACCCUAACAUUGCUUAAACCCUUUUUUUGAAAAUAACUAUUUGAUUCUUGGGGGUUGUUGAAAUUUAUUCACCCAAAUCUUUGUGUUUUUCCAUUAUUUGAGCAAUCGAUCAGAGGUCAAGACUUCUGGAUUUGUCUACUUGACAGGUUGAUACUCAGUUCAGGAGGACAAUGACAUAGCCGCAGCUUUAACGUGCUAGGAUGAGGUUACAAUUGAUUAAUAGAGGAUUGCGAUCUCAGUAUGACUUAAAACGCACCGCUGUAUUUGCUAAUUGCAAGAGGUUCUCAGUUUCAAAUAAUGGAUAUUCCAACUUUGAUAGUCCUGUCAGCUCCUUCAUUCCAGAGAGAAACCCGGAAUUUUCGAGCCAAUUAGAGAAUGUGCAGAAUGGAGUAGAUAACACACAUGGGUGGAGUGAGGCCUUUUCAAACAAAUUGGAGGGUUUAAGGCAAACAGUGGAUUCUGUUUGCAAGAUCUUGCAGAGUGAUCCUUGGGGACCUUCUAUAGAGAUUGCUUUAUCCAAAUGUGAUGAAAAUCCGAGUACCGAAGUGGUCACUGGAGUAUUAAGGCGACUAGAGGAUGUCAACACAGCAUUAAACUACUUCGGAUGGGCUGAGAAGACAACCCUCCGAGCACAUUGCCCUGAAGCAUAUAAUUCACUUCUCAUGGUUAUGGCCAGGACUAGAAAUUUCGAAUAUCUGGAACAGAUUUUGGAAGAAAUGAGUCUAGCUGGAUUUGGCCCAUCGAACACUGUAUCGAUUGAGUUGGUUGUUAGCUGUGUAAAGAAGCGAAAAAUUAAAGAAGCGUUUGAUCUAAUUCAAACCAUGAGAAAAUUUAAGAUUCGUCCUGCAUUUUCUGCAUAUACAACUGUAAUAGGUGCGCUUUCUACUGUACAAGAACCUGAUCUCAUGCUCACCCUCUUUCAUCAGAUGCAGGAAUUAGGAUAUGAAGUAAAUGUACAUUUAUUCACGACUGUAAUUCGAGCUUUUGCUAGGGAGGGUAGAGUUGAUGCUGCUCUGUCCUUGUUGGAUGAGAUGAAAAGCAAUGCUUUUGAUGCAGACAUUGUCCUCUAUAAUGUUUGCAUUGACUGUUUCGGCAAGGCUGGUAAAGUUGAUAUGGCCUGGAAAUUCUUUCAUGAGUUGAAGGCACAUGGUAUAUUACCUGAUGAUGUGACUUAUACCAGUAUGAUUGGGGUUCUUUGCAAAGCGAAUAGACUGAAUGAAGCUGUAGACUUGUUUGAGCAGUUGGAGUUCAACAGGACUGUUCCAUGUGCAUAUGCUUAUAAUACCAUGAUCAUGGGUUACGGAUCUGCUGGAAAAUUUGAUGAAGCAUAUAGUUUGCUUGAGAGACAAAGACAAAAAGGGUCAAUACCAAGUGUGAUUGCAUAUAAUAGUCUUCUUACUUGCCUUGGGAAGAAACAAAGAGUGGAAGAGGCAUUAAGGAUAUUUCAGGACAUGAGGAAAGAUGCUGCACCUAAUCUUUCAACCUAUAAUAUUCUCAUAGACAUGCUCUGCAGGGCUCGGAAACUUGAUGUUGCUCUAGAAAUUCGUGAUACCAUGGAGGCAGUUGGCUUGUUUCCUAAUGUAUUGACUGUGAAUAUAAUGAUUGAUCGUCUAUGCAAGGCUCAACAACUUGAUGAAGCAUGUUCUAUCUUCGAAGCUAUGGAUCAUAAAAUUUGUAGACCAAAUGAAUUCACAUUUUGUUCUCUGAUAGAUGGACUGGGUAGGCGAGGUAGAGUUGAUGAUGCAUACAGACUCUAUGAACAAAUGUUGGAUUUUGAUCUUACUCCUACUGCCAUUGUCUAUACAUCUCUCAUCAGGAACUUUUUCAUGUGUGGGAGAAAAGAAGAUGGCCACAAAAUCUACAAGGAGAUGGUGCGUCAAGGAGCUUCUCCCGACCUUACCCUCCUUAAUACUUACAUGGAUUGUGUUUUCAAAGCUGGUGAGACAGAGAAAGGUAGGUCUCUGUUUGAGGAAAUCAAAACUUGGGGAUUCACUCCAGAUGUGAGGAGCUAUUCUAUACUAAUCCAUGGCCUCAUAAAAGCCGGCUGUGCUCGGGAAACGUAUGAGCUGUUUUAUGCAAUGAAGGAACAGGGGUAUGUGCUGGAUACUUUUGCUUAUAAUACUGUUAUAGAUGGAUUCUGCAAAUCAGGUAAAGUUAAUAAAGCUUAUCAGCUGCUGGAGGAGAUGAAAGUAAAAGGUCUGGAGCCAACUGUAGUAACAUAUGGCUCUGUCAUCGAUGGGCUUGCUAAGAUUGACAGACUUGAUGAAGCCUACAUGCUUUUUGAAGAAGCAAAAUCUAAAGGUGUUCCUUUAAAUGUGGUUAUAUACAGUAGUCUAGUAGACGGAUUUGGUAAAGUGGGUAGAAUAGACGAAGCAUAUCUAAUCAUGGAAGAAUUGAUGCAAAAAGGCUUGUCUCCAAAUGUAUACACAUGGAAUUGUUUGCUUGAUGCACUAGUGAAGGCUGAAGAAAUAGACGAAGCCCUUGUUUGCUUCAAGUCAAUGAAGGAGUUGAAGUGCACUCCGAAUACUUUUACUUAUAGCAUAAUCAUUAAUGGUCUUUGUAGAGUAAGAAAAUUCAAUAAAGCAUCUGUGUUUUGGCAAGAGAUGCAGAAAGAAGGAUUAACACCCAAUAUGAUCACCUAUACAACCAUGAUCUCUGGGCUUGCAAAGGCCGGAAAUGUAUCAGAGGCUGAUAAAAUCUUUCAAAAAUUCCAGGCCAAGGGAGGUAAACCAGAUUCUGCUUGUUACAACACUAUGAUAGAGGGGCUAAGCAUCGCGAACAGGGCGAUGGAGGCAUAUGAGCUAUUUGAAGAAACAAGAUUAAGAGGGUGUAAUAUAUAUACAAAAACUUGUGUUAUUCUUUUAGAUGCAUUGCACAAGGCAGAAUGUCUUGAGCAGGCUGCAAUCGUUGGUGCUAUAUUGAGAGAAAUAGCAAAGUCGCAGCAUGCUUCAAGAUUUUUGUAAUUUUGAUAUAGGUACUCGUCACCAUAAAGAAAUUUUCGAUUUCAUGAUUCAAAGGUUAUACUGGUAUCAUUCAUGAGGUGACCUGGAUGAUUUUAUCUUGGAUAAUGUGUUUUUAUGGAUGGACAGAGAGUUAAUGAAUGUCAAUGGAAGUGUAUUUGAUGAGUUCUAGUUUGGAAUUGUCCUCUUCAUGUAACUUGAAAGCUCUGUUGCUCGAAAAGCUUAUGCCUCAUUCUAUUUGUCAGGGGCUGUAUAUUGCCUGUUUAUAGAGUUCCCUUCACUCUGAGAUGCUGUGUUCCAAUUUCAAAGCUACUCUCAUAGGCCAACGCACAACAGGCUGUAUAUUGCCUGUUUGUUGUAGAGUUCCCUUCAUUCUGAGAGGCUGUGUUCUAAUUUCAAAGCUACUCUCAAUGGCCAACACGCAGCACAAGGAGAAACAAUCCAAUCAAACUAUCUGAUAAGGUAGUCUCAAGGCCAUUGGAACUUCAUGCUUCUUUAUUUCUCUAUGUUUCUUGCCUUAGAACUGUGCAAGCCUAUGAACAUGGUCCAUGUCCAUGCUCUGAAACUGCAGAAGCUCAUGCGGUAAGUGAAUGCCACACGAAGUCUGUGAUUGACAAUUCCCCACUAAUUUUGAGUUCGACACUCGGGAAUUCACAUGAAAAAAAAUGAGCAACUCUCAACGAAAAAGUGCUCUCUAAACCGAACGUGAGGCAUGGCUGCCCUUUGUUGUCAUUUGUUUCCAUAAACGCUCUAGAAUCUUGCUUGUGACGACAAUCAUUUAGAGAUGGUGUCUUUUUCAUCCUCCAAACACCUCAUCUUCACUACUACCUCCGUAUCCCCCAUAUACCCCCCCCCCCCGGCUACGUAGUUAUUUAGAUCAUAAACUAAUGCAAAAACAAGAAAAUAAGUAAAAAAAUCAACUCUAUUGUUUGCAUUUUGCGCUAUUUCUACUACUGCUGCAUUGUUCUCUUUCUUGUUUUGUGUUUAUUGGGAUUUGUUUUGUUCAACAUUUGUUUGAAGAAAUGCCUGAACGAUGGUAUUGACCCAA